AAAGAAGAAGAUGAAAACACAAAUAACACAACCCUCAUCUAUACACGCUCAUGGCAGUUUGCAACAGAAUAAUAACAGGCUUAUCCUGAGGUGUUUGAUAUGUGAUUGAUGUUCCAAGAAUUCAAAAUCUUAAAAUGGAAAAACUAUUUGUACUUUAGGACAAGAACAUGAUAUUUCUAUUCCUUGUUUCCACCUUGAAAAUUCAAGAGGGUAACAUCUGUAUCAUAUUCACAAUUAAUUAAAG
rnacentral:misc_RNA from 1 species